UUAAUAAGUUUUCCGAGAUAAGUGUCGUUUGAUAAAUCAAUUUCAAAUUAAUUUCCCGUUACUUGUAUAUGCGUUCCGCCGUCACGAUGUAUUCGUCAGUUCACGGCACUGAUUUGUCUCCGUUUUUUCUUCUUAUGUCGCAGGUAGUCUACUCGUCAUGUGUUCUUGGAGCUGUUAUGGUCAAGUUACCCAACGAGAUGUUUCUAGAAAACCGCUAACAAAGAAGACAAUGAAACGAAAUAUGAAGAUGAAGAGUCAAUGUUGGAAAUGGUCUUUCGCGUUCAACCCCAAGUUACUACGAGACGACCUGCGCUGGAUAAUCGUUGGUUGGUGAUGGCUCCUCAGGAUCAGGGAAGCAAAAUGUUCAUAAGCACUCACGAGAAACCUUUCAUCUUCGUGAAGAAAUAAAUCUCGACUUACAUUAAA